AUGCAUGUGAAGUGUUUAGUACUACAUCUAACACAUAUAAAAGGUUCAAUAAAUAUUAUUCAUUAUUAUUACUAAUCUAAGUUCAAUAAUUUUAUUUAUUAUUAUU